CUCUAUUUAACCACUGACAAGUAACACCUCCUUAUGAUCAACAAGAAGAUUCCUCCUGGGGGCCCUCCCUAUACUGCUCCCCACAUGGUGCAUCCUAGCCACAGAAUGGAAAAAUCACUCUUCUUGUACAGGACUCCUCUAUUUCAGCCUUUCUCCAUCUGCAGGACACGAUCUUCAAGCAGUUUUUUAACUGAUUCUCCUGGAAACAACUACGUACAACCAAAGAUACUUACAGGGGGCUGGGAGAUGUUAUCCAAAUUAAAAACAUCAUUCACUGUUCUUCUGAAUCCUGUUCACUACAUGGUACUCAUAGAGAAAUAACUGCUGUGAGCCCAGCAAGAAGACUGAGUAAUCAGUAUUUUUCAGGUUAUUCUAUGCAAGGUUGUACCAAUGUCUCUUCUGAGGUUAAUAACAGAAAAAAAGCAACCCAAAUCCAGUGAAGGUGUACAAUAGAAGUGGUAGUACUGAUGGUAAGAAGAUAGGUAAUCCUCUGUAAUACCAUGUCCUGCCCAAGACACUAAUCAUGAAGAAGUAGAAUUGAAGCUUAAUAAAGCAGAGAAGAAAUUGUGUCCUUUAAUCCCCUUCUUUAUAAUCUUGCCAUAUUAUUGCAGUCACUAUUGUCAAGAAAGCUUACUUUCUUAUUCUUAUAUCUUGUAUAGUAAAGUGAUUGACUCUGCAUGCUCUGCUACACAGCAGCAUAUCAGAAGAGAUUACACACAACAAACCUCUGCAGGAAUUCU